GAUGAACGCUGGCGGCGUGCCUAAUACAUGCAAGUCGAGCGAACAGACGAGGAGCUUGCUCCUCUGACGUUAGCGGCGGACGGGUGAGUAACACGUGGAUAACCUACCUAUAAGACUGGGAUAACUUCGGGAAACCGGAGCUAAUACCGGAUAAUAUAUUGAACCGCAUGGUUCAAUAGUGAAAGACGGUUUUGCUGUCACUUAUAGAUGGAUCCGCGCCGCAUUAGCUAGUUGGUAAGGUAACGGCUUACCAAGGCAACGAUGCGUAGCCGACCUGAGAGGGUGAUCGGCCACACUGGAACUGAGACACGGUCCAGACUCCUACGGGAGGCAGAGGUGGGGAAUCUUCCGCAAUGGGCGAAAGCCUGACGGAGCAACGCCGCGUGAGUGAUGAAGGUCUUCGGAUCGUAAAACUCUGUUAUUAGGGAAGAACAAAUGUGUAAGUAACUAUGCACGUCUGGACGGUACCUAAUCAGAAGGCCACGGCUAACUACGU
rnacentral:rRNA from 1 species